AGCUCCUGAAAUCGUUUGGGUAAGCAAUUGCUGAUUUUAAUUCCCUCACUUCACAAAAAAGUGAAGUUUCUGAAAAGUAAUACAGCAGGCAAAGAAAAUCUGCAGGAGACAGCAGAAGAAAAAGCAAUUAUUCUGAAUAAUCUACACAUAAAGAAAUAUGAUUUUGUUUGAUAUUUACCACCCCUUUCAAUUCUGAGGAGCGAUUACUUCCAA
rnacentral:lncRNA from 1 species